AGAGUUUGAUCCUGGCUCAGAACGAACGUUGGCGGCGUGGAUGAGGCAUGCAAGUCGAGCGUGAAAGCUCCCUUCGGGGAGUGAGUAAAGCGGCGGACGGGUGAGUAACACGUAAUCGAGCUGCCCCCGAGCCGGGGAUAACCGCGGGAAACUGCGGCUAAUACCGGAUGGUCUUGUGCGGUCGCAUGGCUGCACAUGUAAAGGCUGGGAUCCUUCGGGACCUGCCGCUCGGGGAGGCGAUUGCGGCCUAUCAGCUUGUUGGUGAGGUAACGGCUCACCAAGGCGACGACGGGUAGCAGGCCUGAGAGGGUGGUCUGUCACACUGGGACUGAGACACUGCCCAGACUCCUACGGGAGGCUGCAGUCGAGAAUCUUCCGCAAUGGGCGAAAGCCUGACGGAGCGACGCCGCGUGGAGGACGAAGGCCUUUGGGUUGUAAACUCCUGUCACGGGUUAUGAAUGCGUAGCGGUUAAUAGCCGUUGCGUUGACGUAUGCUCGAGAGGAAGCACCGGCUAACUCUGUGCCAGCAGCCGCGGUAAUACAGAGGGUGCAAACGUUGUUCGGAAUCACUGGGCAUAAAGCGCACGUAGGCGGCCUUGUCAGUGUGGA
rnacentral:rRNA from 1 species